rnacentral:rRNA from 1 species
AGUCGAACGCGAAAGUCCCCUUCGGGGGACAAGUAGAGUGGCGCACGGGUGAGUAACACGUAGGUAAUCUACCUUCGGAUGGGGAAUAACAACCGGAAACGGUUGCUAAUACCGCAUAAUGCAGCGGCACCUAAUGGUGACAGUUGUUAAAGCGGGGGAUCGAAAGACCUCGCGUCUGAAGAGGAGCCUGCGGCGGAUUAGCUAGUUGGUAGGGUAACGGCCUACCAAGGCGACGAUCCGUAGCCGGCCUGAGAGGGCGGUCGGCCACACUGACACUGACAUACGGGUCAGACUCCUACGGGAGGCAGCAGUCGGGAAUUUUGGGCAAUGGGCGAAAGCCUGACCCAGCAACGCCGCGUGAAGGAUGAAAUCCCUCGGGAUGUAAACUUCGCAAGAACGGGAAGAAUAAGUAGGGGACAAUACCCCCUAUGAUGACGGUACCGUUUGUAAGCUCCGGCUAACUCCGUGCCAGCAGCCACGGUAAUACGGGGGGAGCAAGCGUUGUUCGGAUUUACUGGGCGUAAAGGGCGCGUAGGCGGCCUCCGCAAGUCAGUUGUGAAAUCUCCGAGCUUAACUCGGAAAGGUCAACUGAUACUGCGGGGCUAGAGUGCGGAAGGGGCAACUGGAAUUCUUGGUGUAGCGGUGAAAUGCGUAGAUUUCAAGAGGAACACCUGCGGCGAAGGCGGGUUGCUGGGCCGACACUGACGCUGAGGCGCGAAAGCUAGGGGAGCGAACGGGAUUAGAUACCCCGGUAGUCCUAGCCUUAAACGAUGAAUGCUUGGUGUCUGGGGUUAUAUAU